rnacentral:rRNA from 1 species
AGUUUGAUCAUGGCUCAGGAUGAACGCUGGCGGCGUGCCUAACACAUGCAAGUCGAGCGAUUCUCUUCGGAGAAGAGCGGCGGACGGGUGAGUAACGCGUGGGUAACUGCCCUGUACACACGGAUAACAUACCGAAAGGUAUGCUAAUACGGGAUAAUGUACUUUUGUCGCAUGGCAAAAGUAUCAAAGCUCUGGCGGUACAGGAUGGACCCGCGUCUGAUUAGCUAGUUGGAGAGGUAAUGGCUCACCAAGGCAACGAUCAGUAGCCGACCUGAGAGGGUGAUCGGCCACAUUGGAACUGAGACACGGUCCAAACUCCUACGGGAGGCAGCAGUGGGGAAUAUUGCACAAUGGGCGAAAGCCUGAUGCAGCAACGCCGCGUGAGCGAUGAAGGCCUUCGGGUCGUAAAGCUCUGUCCUCAAGGAAGAUAAUGACGGUACUUGAGGAGGAAGCCCCGGCUAACUACGUGCCAGCAGCCGCGGUAAUACGUAGGGGGCUAGCGUUAUCCGGAAUUACUGGGCGUAAAGGGUGCGUAGGUGGUUUCUUAAGUCAGAGGUGAAAGGCUACGGCUCAACCGUAGUAAGCCUUUGAAACUGAGAAACUUGAGUGCAGGAGAGGAGAGUAGAAUUCCUAGUGUAGCGGUGAAAUGCGUGGAUAUUAGGAGGAAUACCAGUUGCGAAGGCGGCUCUCUGGACUGUAACUGACACUGAGGCACGAAAGCGUGGGGAGCAAACAGGAUUAGAUACCCUGGUAGUCCACGCCGUAAACGAUGAGUACUAGGUGUCGGGGGUUACCCCCCUCGGUGCCGCAGCUAACGCAUUAAGUACUCCGCCUGGGAAGUACGCUCGCAAGAGUGAAACUCAAAGGAAUUGACGG